rnacentral:rRNA from 1 species
GAUGAACGCUGGCGGCGUGCUUAACACAUGCAAGUCGAACGAGAAGUGAAGACGGAAACCUUCGGGCGGAAGGCUUUAUUUCGAGUGGCGGCCGGGUGAGUAACGCGUGGGUAACCUGCCUCAUACAGGGGGAUAACAGUUGGAAACGACUGUUAAUACCGCAUAAGACCACAGCACCGCAUGGUGCGGGGGUAAACACUCCGGUGGUAUGAGAUGGAUCCGCGUUCGAUUAGCCAGUUGGCGGGGUAACGGACCACCAAAGCGACGAUCGAUAGCCGAGCUGAGAGGAUGACCGACCACAUUGGGACUGGGACACGGCCCAAACUCCUACGGGAGGCAGCAGUGGGGAAUAUUGCACAAUGGGGGAAACCCGGAUGCAGCGACGCCGCGUGAGUGAAGAAGUAUUUCGGUAUGUAAAGCUCUAUCAGCAGGGAAGAAAAUGACGGUACCUGAGGAAGAAGCCCCGGCUAACUACGUG